rnacentral:rRNA from 1 species
CCAAUAGCGUAUAUUAAAGUUGUUGCAGUUAAAAAGCUCGUAGUUGAAUUUCGGGAUUGACGUGAUGGUCAUGCCUUAAGGGGUAUGAACUGUUGCUGUUGAUUUCUCACCUUCUGGAGAAACUUGAUGUCCUUUAUUGGGUGUCUUGCGGAUCCAGGACCUUUACCUUGAAAAAAUUAGAGUGUUUAAAGCAGGCAUUUUUGCUCGAAUACAUUAGCAU